ACCUCCGCCGUGAAUCUCGCAGCCACGGCCGGUGGCCAGUCUCCCUCUCCGGCUUCCAUCCAGCGCCGCCGCCGCGCCCUCUCCUCCCCUUCCCACCAGCCCCAAAUCGGUGCCAUUCUGAGUCUCCUCCACCUCCAACCUCCUGCUGGCGGCCGUGUCGGAUUUGGAUCGGAGUCACUAGCGUGUGCGCGCAGGAGACAAAAUCUCACAUAGACUCAGAAGCCAACAAACAAGUUUUCCCCAUCACUUAAAUCCCUCUCCCAGACCAAAACAAUCGAGCGGAAGACGAUCUGGACGCGAUGGCGCUGGAGUGGGUUGUGCGCUACGCGGCGGGCGCUGACGCCAUCAUGCCGCUGCAGCCGACGCCGCUGAGGAUGGAUGUGCUUCGGCACCGCUCUUCAUCAACCUCUAACUCGCUGUAUCCACUCACCCUGCUAUCAUGGUACCAAAAAGCAAGAUCUGGGCGAAAGUUUACGAGGCGAACUGUAUCUCACGUCAACUCGCCCGCCGCUGGGUAGCCGCCGCCCUCGCCACUGGUCCGCCUCUCCAAGUCUCCGACCGGCUGUUCUACUCGGACAUCGCCGUACAGUUCCUCAUCCGCAAACUCUUGUGCUUCUCAACUAGAAAUCAAUCCCCGAGCUAUUAAUGCCCCCCGUAUUUGUCGCAGGAUAUGCCCAAGGUGAAGGACGGACACCAACGACGGAGAGGAGGAGCAAGAGGACGACGAUGCUGUUAAAGCUAACUAAAAUUUGAGGGGGCUUUGCAAUGUCGAGAAAAUAAUCAUGAGGGUCGGUUUUCAUGAGGAGAAGGCAUGCUAAACUCUUCAUUAUCACCAGUGGGAUUGAUGUAGUGAUUAAGGAAGAAGUUGCUGAUAAAUCUACGAACCAUCAGAAAUUCACCAACCGGGAGCGGUCCAGGGGUCCUCAAUUUUAAGAUGAGCUGCAGUAUUUUUAAGAUCAGAAUGUGCCAUAUGAGUGGAGUAGAAGAUAUUAAGUAAGAUAGACUUACUGGUACUAAUUCGCGAGGAUCGUCAUAACUAUCAGCAGAUUUGCAAAUGGAGAUCAUGUGUCCGCAAACAUAGUAUCCACAAAGGUUGGUCCCUGCUUGUUGCUGAGGAUACUGAAAUUGUUUGUACAGAAUUAGUCAUGUAUUUGUACUGUUAGGAACAAUCUAACCUGUGUUAGAUGUAUUAUUUAUUUCUUUGGAAAAAUAGAAAGAGGUUUA